UCCUACGGGAGGCAGCAGUGGGGAAUCUUAGACAAUGGGGGCAAGCCUGAUCUAGCCAUGCCGCGUGAGUGAUGAAGGCCUUAGGGUCGUAAAGCUCUUUCGCCAGAGAUGAUAAUGACAGUAUCUGGUAAAGAAACCCCGGCUAACUCCGUGCCAGCAGCCGCGGUAAUACGGAGGGGGUUAGCGUUGUUCGGAAUUACUGGGCGUAAAGCGCACGUAGGCGGAUUAGUAAGUUAGAGGUGAAAUCCCAGGGCUCAACCCUGGAACUGCCUUUAAAACUGCUAGUCUUGAGUUCGAGAGAGGUAAGUGGAAUUCCAAGUGUAGAGGUGAAAUUCGUAGAUAUUUGGAGGAACACCAGUGGCGAAGGCGGCUCACUGGCUCGAUACUGACGCUGAGGUACGAAAGUGUGGGGAGCAAACAGGAUUAGAUACCCUGGUAGUCCACACCGUAAACGAUGAAUGCCAGUCGUCAGCAAGUAUACUAUUUUGGUGUCACACCUAACGGAUUAAGCAUCCGCCUG
rnacentral:rRNA from 1 species